rnacentral:piRNA from 1 species
UGCAUUCAUGUUCUUUCUUAACCUCCCAC